rnacentral:rRNA from 1 species
UUUAUGGAGAGUUUGAUCCUGGCUCAGGAUGAACGCUGGCGGCGUGCCUAAUACAUGCAAGUCGAGCGAACGGACGAGAAGCUUGCUUUUCUGAUGUUAGCGGCGGACGGGUGAGUAACACGUGGAUAACCUACCUAUAAGACUGGGAUAACUUCGGGAAACCGGAGCUAAUACCGGAUAAUAUUUUGAACCGCAUGGUUCAAAAGUGAAAGACGGUCUUGCUGUCACUUAUAGAUGGAUCCGCGCUGCAUUAGCUAGUUGGUAAGGUAACGGCUUACCAAGGCAACGAUGCAUAGCCGACCUGAGAGGGUGAUCGGCCACACUGGAACUGAGACACGGUCCAGACUCCUACGGGAGGCAGCAGUAGGGAAUCUUCCGCAAUGGGCGAAAGCCUGACGGAGCAACGCCGCGUGAGUGAUGAAGGUCUUCGGAUCGUAAAACUCUGUUAUUAGGGAAGAACAUAUGUGUAAGUAACUGUGCACAUCUUGACGGUACCUAAUCAGAAAGCCACGGCUAACUACGUGCCAGCAGCCGCGGUAAUACGUAGGUGGCAAGCGUUAUCCGGAAUUAUUGGGCGUAAAGCGCGCGUAGGCGGUUUUUUAAGUCUGAUGUGAAAGCCCACGGCUCAACCGUGGAGGGUCAUUGGAAACUGGAAAACUUGAGUGCAGAAGAGGAAAGUGGAAUUCCAUGUGUAGCGGUGAAAUGCGCAGAGAUAUGGAGGAACACCAGUGGCGAAGGCGACUUUCUGGUCUGUAACUGACGCUGAUGUGCGAAAGCGUGGGGAUCAAACAGGAUUAGAUACCCUGGUAGUCCACGCCGUAAACGAUGAG